ACAACGAUUCCUCUGUAGUUCAGUCGGUAGAACGGCGGACUGUUAAUCCGUAUGUCACUGGUUCGAGUCCAGUCAGAGGAGCCA
rnacentral:tRNA from 1 species